CCAAGGAUAGAAUCUGGGACCUUAUCUACAGAAGGCAUGUGCACCAGCACAAAAAUAUGGCCGCUCCCUCAGCUGGUGACAGACUUCUGGAAUCAGAUGCCAAAAAGCAGGUGAUAAGAGACAGAUAUAUAAAAUGAGAAGAAGUGGCUUUUGUUGGCAGAGGACUAGAGCAGACCCUGACCUGAUAAGGUCUUCACCAAAAAUUUAGAGACUGGUGCAGAUAUUAUUUAGAGCACGAUUUCAUAAAAUGACACACAAUGCAGAAUACUUUCACUUCCAAUUAGCCAUUUUAAAUUGUGUGGCUCUCAAUCAGAAGGAAUAUCCCAAACAGAAGACCAAGAACGUAACAUUUCAGAAAAGUUGGGAAUUUACUUUAGUAACGUUACUUAUUAAAUGCAACGGCUGAGUUUCUCUUGAACAGGAAUAAGCAAUAAAUUGUCCUCCAAGUACUGACAGUCUACAAGUCUCAUUAUAUCCGUCAGCACUGGUCAUGUUGGUUAAGGCUGAUAACAGCUGAAGUUCACCAAGCUUUAGAGCUGAUCUACCAUGGUUCAUCUCUACUGCAGAAUAUAUUAGUCUUCUUCACUAUAAGAAGGUUGGGCUGUAUUUCAACAUUUUCAAUUCUAAUGCCAAAAAUCAUUCCAGAGCUGAAAUCACUACCUGCAAUGUUGAAUCAUAACCAGCAUAAUAUGACAUUCUGGGAAAGCUGCUAUUCAUUUUAGCCAGAUCCAAGGUUGCUGGAAACCAGAAGUGGCCCUGGAGCUUCAGGUUGUACAGAUCUGCUCUAACACAAGCCUUUCUGACGAUGUCAUUCCACAGCAAAUACGGAAACAAAGCACAAGUAGACCAGAAAACAGGUAGUCUUUGACUUAUGACCACAACUGAGACCAGAAUUUCUGUUGUUAAGCAAGGGGAUUAAGAUGAAAUUGAACUAAAAGCAGCAGAGAUGCUGAAAGAGGUAGAACUGUUUUACAGUUCAUCUUGUAAGUAUAUUAUUUUUCGAUUUUCCAAGUCAUGACCAGACCAAGUUAAAUAAGCUAACCAAAAUGAAGCCAUGGUCACAGAUUGUGAUUAAAAUGAAGCAUCUUUAUCAAAAUAUGACCAGCAGUUUCAGUUUGGACAAUACGCCAAAUUAAAUCAAGUAUGACUUACCGUAUCAUGUAAUAAAAGCAGAUAAGUUUCUAUCCUGGUCCUGCACAGGAUAAUUCAUUGUGAUAAUAAUUGGAAGACGUUGGGUUCUGCAUUCUGAAGAAAUUGAACUGGUUCCAUUUUGUUUGUCUAAUUCUUUUACAUUUUUGUUCUGCACAUUUUCUACUGAACUUAAAUCCAAAUGCUGAACUUAUCCAAAUGCUGAAAAAUAUUGUGAGAUUAUUAUUAAAAAAUUAUAAAUAGAUGAGGUUUGGCUACACCCUUUCAAUAGUAUCUAAUAAUUGAUUUCUUGGCUACUGAAUGUAGUUAGUAUGACUUUUUCAAUUUCCUGUACACAAAAAUAAAUGUUCCCAAGUAUUCAAAGGAGUUUGUUAGAAAUGGUGUCUACUGGCCAUUAUUAGGAAUAAAUCAUGGACUGUAAAGAUGAGUCUGAAAAUAAAGGUUCCCAAAUUUGCUUGAUGUUAGGAACAUGUCAUCAAAAUACAGUAGAAACUCUUGUUCCUUUCGUUGUUUUUUUUCAUGGACAUUAUAUUGCUUUCAAUAUGUGAUUCAUUUCCAUUCUGAAUAAGAAGCAUCUAGCAGGUAUCUUUUGUCUUACUCUGUUGUUUAUAUUAUGAAAAAGAAGAGUAAAAAAGCACUAGCUCAGCCUUAGUUUAUCCAGGAUGUCCUAGAGGAUGUACAGAAACUGAAGAUUUAAAAAAAAUAUAUUAGUAAAGGCCAAACCAUAACAGAGAAAGGCCAUCUUAUGCAGUGCUAAUAACGACUUGAUUGGUGCUAUAGUAGAAAUAGUCCCAAACAUGUUAAAAGGAAA